CCUACGGGAGGCAGCAGUGGGGAAUAUUGCACAAUGGUGGAAACCCUGAUGCAGCGACGCCGCGUGAGUGAAGAAGUAUUUCGGUAUGUAAAGCUCUAUCAGCAGGGAAGAAAAUGACGGUACCUGAUUAAGAAGCCCCGGCUAACUACGUGCCAGCAGCCGCGGUAAUACGUAGGGGGCAAGCGUUAUCCGGAUUUACUGGGUGUAAAGGGGGCGUAGACGGCAGCACAAGUCUGGAGUGAAAUGCCGGGGCUUAACCCCGGAACUGCUUUGGAAACUGUGCAGCUAGAGUGCAGGAGAGGUAAGGGGAAUUCCUAGUGGAGCGGUGAAAUGCGUAGAUAUUAGGAGGAACACCAGUGGCGAAGGCGGCUUACUGGAUUGUAACUGACGUUGAGGCUCGAAAGCGUGGGGAGCAAACAGGAUUAGAUACCCGAGUAGUC
rnacentral:rRNA from 1 species